rnacentral:piRNA from 5 species
UCAGACAUUUGGUGUAUGUGCUUGGCUGA